AGUAUACUUGUGCUCAUUCUAUCCGCAAAAAAAAAAAUUCUCUUCCUUGUUGUUUUGUUCUGUUUAUUGUUGGCCCCCAGAGUUUUAAGCUUAGAUUUAAUGGGAAUUUUGAAUUGUUGAUUGUAUUUAAGUGAGCAUAUAUGUUAUACAUUUUCAGAUAAUCAUUUUGGCUUUUUUGUUUUUUCCAGCAUACUUGUUCCUAUGUUCAGCAACCGUAGUAGCAGUCAGUUUAGUCAACAAGAAACAACAUGUCUUUUGUUGCUAAAAGAAAUCCUUGUGUGUGGAAUGUAAGAUAAUAUGGGAUAAAGUUGGAGAAUCUGAUUCUCAAAGGGAUGCAAUGCUGCGGGAAAUAGAACAAAGUGUCUGGAUUUGUAUAGAAAAGAAGUGGAUGUAGCCAAACUAUGUAGAGCACAAAUUCAGCAAGAAAUUGCUGAUUAUGUGGCGGAAAUUGCUGGCGUCUGUGCAGCAAUGGGUGAACAACCAUUACAUUUUGAUCCAAAGGCUUGUGGAAGCUUGAAGAAAGCACGUGAAACAGUUGUUUCACAGCUUGAGGAGAUGCGCAAGCUGAAAACCGAUAGGAAGAAACACUUUUCAGAGGUCUUAUAUCAGUUGAAGAAUAUUUCUAGUGAGCUUUAUGGCUCCAUGGUGGCUAAUGCUUAUUCAGAUGAGACCAACUUGUCUUUGAAAAGACUAGAGGAAUUACAGAAGCAGUUACUUCAAUUACAAAAUGAGAAGGCCAGUCGACUGAAGCAGGUGUCUGGCCAACUGAACACUCUCAAUUCAUUGUUUAGUCCUUGGUUUGGAUGUCAAAGACACAAUUUGUGAGAUUUGCCCCACUAUGGUUAAUUCCACUGUGACAAAAGAUGUCAGUGACAAUACAAUAAAGAAUUUGACAUCUGAAAUACGAAGAUUGCUGUUGAUUAUAUCAUUCUUCAUUAAUUGUAUAAUGAUUCCACAGUAUGUGCAAUCUUAAUUUAAAGCCUUUAAAGGAUGCAUGUUAAGUAACCAAGGCAUAGGCCAGUCACAAGAUCGUCUAGUGAUAAAUAAUCAUGAGCAGAAGAACAAUGAUAUGGCUAUUAAUUUAAAUUUCUUCCAUAGGAUUGCUUUAAUUUUUUUAUUUCUCAAGUAUUUUACCAGUUUGUUGUUGUUUAACAAAGUGUGCCAUGCAUGUCACUAGUUGUUCUAUCAUCCAUUUUGAUAAUCACUCCGCAGAUCAAAUUGAUCACCUAAUUACUAAGACAAAAGAAGAAGCUCUUAGCAGGAAAGAAAUCCUUGAAAAGGUUGAGAAGUGGUUGGUUGCAUGUCAAGAAGAAAGCUGGUUGGAGGAGUACAAUAGGGAUGAUAAUCGUUAUAAUGCUGGAAGAGGUGCACAUCUUACCUUAAAACGCGCUGAGAAGGCCCGUGCUUUGUUAAGCAAAAUUCCUGGGAUGGUAGAGGCAAGAAGAGUUUAUGUAUGAUGGAAGCCGGCUACUUUCCAUGCUUGAAGAUUACAGCACCUCAAGGCAGGAGAAAGAGAAUGAAAGGCAAAGGCAGAGGGAUCAAAAGAAACUUCAGGGACAGUGAUGGCCGAGCAUGAAACACCACUUUUCGGUUCAAAACCCAGCCCAGCAUCUAAAAGUGGGUACAAGGCUUCCAGAUGUUCAACGGGAAUUCCAAGUAUCCGAAAAUUUUCCAUUACUGAGCCUGUGUUUUAUCAGUAAAUUUUUUUGGGGGAUUUUAACAUUUUCCCUUAAACCUAUUUUAAAGCAUUUAAAAGUGGUAAUUUUUUUAUCAUAAAGAGUAAAUGCUGUAUUUGCAGUCCCUGCAAAUAAAAUAAAAAAUACUCUUUUAGUUCCUAAAAAAAUUAUCUCCUUGUUAUCUGUAAAAUGUGUCAAGUGUAUUCCCUGAUUGUAACACUGUUUAAGGUGUUACAUGAAGUAGAAAGGAAUGAGCAAAACGAAAUACAAUUUUUAUUAGCUACUAAAAAUGAACAUUUUUCUAUUUGCAAAGAUUAUAAACAUAUAAUAUAGUAGUACUAGUGCAUUCUAUUGAAAUUUUCUUAUUUGAAAUCAAGAAAAUAGUAAUUUUUUUCUUA